GAUGAACGCUGGCGGCGUGCCUAAUACAUGCAAGUCGAGCGAACAGACGAGGUGCUUGCUCCUCUGACGUUAGCGGCGGACGGGUGAGUAACACGUGGAUAACCUACCUAUAAGACUGGGAUAACUUCGGGAAACCGGAGCUAAUACCGGAUAAUAUAUUGAACCGCAUGGUUCAAUAGUGAAAGACGGUUUUGCUGUCACUUAUAGAUGGAUCCGCGCCGCAUUAGCUAGUUGGUAAGGUAACGGCUUACCAAGGCAACGAUGCGUAGCCGACCUGAGAGGGUGAUCGGCCACACUGGAACUGAGACACGGUCCAGACUCCUACGGGAGGCGGCAGUAGGGAAUCUUCCGCAAUGGGCGAAAGCUUGACGGAGCAACGCCGCGUGAGUGAUGAAGGUCUUCGGAUCGUAAAACUCUGUUAUUAGGGAAGAACAAAUGUGUAAGUAACUAUGCACGUCUUGACGGUACCUAAUCAGAAAGCCACGGCUAACUACGUG
rnacentral:rRNA from 1 species